GUCCAGACUCCUACGGGAGGCAGCAGUGGGGAAUAUUGCACAAUGGGGGAAACCCUGAUGCAGCGACGCCGCGUGAGUGAGGAAGUAUUUCGGUAUGUAAAGCUCUAUCAGCAGGGAAGAAAAUGACGGUACCUGACUAAGAAGCCCCGGCUAACUACGUGCCAGCAGCCGCGGUAAUACGUAGGGGGCAAGCGUUAUCCGGAUUUACUGGGUGUAAAGGGAGCGUAGACGGCGAUGCAAGUCAGAAGUGAAAGUCCGCGGCUCAACUGCGGGACUGCUUUUGAAACUGUAUAGCUUGAGUGCAGGAGAGGUAAGCGGAAUUCCUAGUGUAGCGGUGAAAUGCGUAGAUAUUAGGAGGAACACCAGUGGCGAAGGCGGCUUACUGGACUGUAACUGACGUUGAGGCUCGAAAGCGUGGGGAGCAAACAGGAUUAGAUACCCCUGUA
rnacentral:rRNA from 1 species